rnacentral:lncRNA from 1 species
GUCCACGCCAAUCGCGACGAGGCAGGGGCGGUGCCUUGGGCUCUCCGCAAUAAAACUUUUUGAUGUUCACGUUGCUAAUUGCUGAAGUCCUCUUUUAGGAUUGGCUACCCUUUCAUAUCCAUAAGAUAAUUAAAACAAAGAGGGAUUUUUUUAAACUUUUUUUUUAAUCAGCCAGAGGUUAAUGCAAGAGCAUAUGCUUUAGUAUUAAAAAAAAUUAAAAAAAAAAAGCCAAAAACUCUUUAAAAUCCUCUAAAAUAACUGGAUCUUCUCAAGUCAGGGGACACCAAGACCCCCAAAUGGAUUUCCUCCAGCUUUCGGAAAGUUUAAAAACCCGGCACCUCGUUCCCCCCCGAAUCCGUGGUGUGGCCGCUAUCGGUUUUCUGCCAGUUUAACUAGCCUGUUUGUGACCGCAUAACGUCAUUACUGAGGAGCUGCAGAGCUUUCAGAGAAUAUGCAGUUUUAAGCUCCACUCUUGUCGCUGUGAAGCAUUACUUCAUAUCUGUUAUUGUUCGGGUAUCCACCUUCUCCCACCCAAACCAUGGUUACAAGAAAUCUGGAGGAAGAUUGCCAUCUUGGAUGCAUCUGAAUCAGGAGACCUUGCCUCGGCCACUAUCACAGAGAUUUCCAGGCAGUUUGGUACUCAGGAGGCCCUCUACUCAAGAAAAGGGAAAACAAAAGAUGCUGAGGCUGUCAGGAACCCAGAUGCAAGCUCUGUAGUGAUGAUGUGGCUUCAAGCAAGCACCAGCUGCCAUGAGGUUCUCACUUGUCCAUAGACAUACUUGGCAGAUUGGAAAUAGCUGGAACAUCAGUUUCCUCAUUUUGAACCAUCUGGAAUUCCACCUGCUCACAGUUAACAGUAUGGAGCUUGUUAAGCAAUUGGACCAUUUGCAACUUUCUUUUCAGUG